UACGUAGGGUGCGAGCGUUGUCCGGAUUUAUUGGGCGUAAAGAGCUCGUAGGCGGUUCCGUAAGUCGAGUGUGAAAAAUCUGGGCUCAACCCAGUGGAGCACUCGAUACUGCGGUGACUAGAGUACGGUAGAGGAGUGUGGAAUUCCUGGUGUAGCGGUGAAAUGCGCAGAUAUCAGGAGGAACACCAACGGCGAAGGCAGCACUCUGGGCCGGUACUGACGCUGAGGAGCGAAAGCGUGGGGAGCAAACAGG
rnacentral:rRNA from 1 species